rnacentral:rRNA from 1 species
CAGCAGCCACGGUAAUACGAAGGGUGCAAGCGUUACUCGGAAUUACUGGGCGUAAAGCGUGCGUAGGUGGUGGUUUAAGUCCGUUGUGAAAGCCCUGGGCUCAACCUGGGAAUUGGAGUGGAUACUGGGUCACUAGAGUGUGGUAGAGGAUAGUGGAAUAUCCGGUGUAGCAGUGAAAUGCGUAGAGAUCGGAAGGAACAUCUGUGGCGAAGGCGACUAUCUGGGCCAACACUGACACUGAGGCACGAAAGCGUGGGGAGCAAACAGGAUUAGAUACCCGUGUAGUCCCUGUCUCUUAUAC